AGUGAACGCUGGCGGUAGGCCUAACACAUGCAAGUCGAACGGCAGCACAGUAAGAGCUUGCUCUUACGGGUGGCGAGUGGCGGACGGGUGAGGAAUACAUCGGAAUCUACUUUUCGUGGGGGGAUAACGUAGGGAAACUUACGCUAAUACCGCAUACGACCUACGGGUGAAAGCAGGGGAUCUUCGGACCUUGCGCGAUUGAAUGAGCCGAUGUCGGAUUAGCUAGUUGGGCGGGGUAAAGGCCCACCAAGGCGACGAUCCGUAGCUGGUCUGAGAGGAUGAUCAGCCACACUGGAACUGAGACACGGUCCAGACUCCUACGGGAGGCAGCAGUGGGGAAUAUUGGACAAUGGGCGCAAGCCUGAUCCAGCCAUACCGCGUGGGUGAAGAAGGCCUUCGGGUUGUAAAGCCCUUUUGUUGGGAAAGAAAUCCAGCCGGCUAAUACCUGGUUGAGAUGACGGUACCCAAAGAAUAAGCACCGGGCUAACUUCGUGCCCAGCAGCCGCGGGUAAAUA
rnacentral:rRNA from 1 species